rnacentral:rRNA from 1 species
GUUUACCAAAAACAUAGCCCUAUUUAAAUAAACUUUAAGGUGAUGCCUGGUCAGUGAAUUUAUUUAAACACACGUCUUAGCGUGAGGAUGAUAAUGUAUCAUAAUAAAUUGGCAUUUAAUUGAUGUCUGGAAGGAAUGGUAAUAUAAUUUUAACUUUGUCUCAUUUAUAUAUUUUAAAAAAUUUAAAUAACAGUUAAGAUGCUGUUUAAAAUUUAUAAGACGAGAAGACCCCAGAACCUUUACUAUAAAAAUAAUUUUUUUCAAUCAUAAAUUAAUAGUUUAACUGGGACGGUUAUCUUUUACAAAAACAAAGAGAAUUUUAUAAAAAUGAAAUGUUAACACUAACUUUCAAAAUUCGUUUAUUAUAAUAAAUUAACAAUAAAAAUACUUGAAAUUAUGAUCAUUUGAUUAAUAUAAUUGAAAAGGUACUCUGGGGAUAACAGCGUUAUCUAAAAAAAAAGAUGAUAUUAAAUUUUAGGUUUGCGACCUCGAUGUUGAAUUGGGAUAUCCAUAAAAUAGUAAAAGUUUUAAAGGGUUAGAUUGUUCAUCUAUUAAAAUCUUACAUGAUUUGAGUUCAUUCCG